UCGAAACCUGCACAGCAGAACGACCCGCGAACUCGUUUACCAAACCCUGAGGGCCGGGGCCUGCCCCGUCCCCCUCAGAGCCAGAACGCGCACGCCCCUCGGGGCGGCGCGGGACGGCAAGUACCCAAACACCGGCGCGGGUUGCGCCAAGGACUACAAAUUCUACCGCGUCCCGCGGUGGCCGGGCGACCGGUCGCCGAGGGGAAGGCGCGUCGAAAUACUGAACACAACGACUCUCGGCAACGGAUAUCUCGGCUCUCGCAUCGAUGAAGAACGUAGCGAAAUGCGAUACUUGGUGUGAAUUGCAGAAUCCCGUGAACCAUCGAGUCUUUGAACGCAAGUUGCGCCCAAAGCCAUCCGGCCGAGGGCACGUCUGCCUGGGCGUCACGCAUCGCGUCGCCCCCUCCCCCUCUGCGGAGCGGGGAGAGGGGCGGAGUAUGGCCCCCCGUGCGCCCCCGCGCGCGGUCGGCCUAAACACGGAGCCCGUGGCCGCGAGUGCCGCGACGUUUGGUGGUUGAACCUUUUAAGCAUCGCGUCGCGCGCCGCUGUCGGCACAUGGAGAGCUCGGAGGACCCUUAGGCGCUUCGAGCAGCCUACCCUUGCGACCCC
rnacentral:rRNA from 1 species